rnacentral:rRNA from 1 species
CUAAUACAUGCAAGUCGAACGAUCCCUUCGGGGAUAGUGGCGCACGGGUGCGUAACGCGUGGGAAUCUGCCCUUGGGUUCGGAAUAACUUCUGGAAACGGAAGCUAAUACCGGAUGAUGACGUAAGUCCAAAGAUUUAUCGCCCAAGGAUGAGCCCGCGUAGGAUUAGCUAGUUGGUGAGGUAAAGGCUCACCAAGGCGACGAUCCUUAGCUGGUCUGAGAGGAUGAUCAGCCACACUGGGACUGAGACACGGCCCAGACUCCUACGGGAGGCAGCAGUAGGGAAUAUUGGACAAUGGGGGAAACCCUGAUCCAGCAAUGCCGCGUGAGUGAUGAAGGCCUUAGGGUUGUAAAGCUCUUUUACCCGGGAUGAUAAUGACAGUACCGGGAGAAUAAGCUCCGGCUAACUCCGUGCCAGCAGCCGCGGUAAUACGGAGGGAGCUAGCGUUGUUCGGAAUUACUGGGCGUAAAGCGCACGUAGGCGGCUAUUCAAGUCAGAGGUGAAAGCCCGGGGCUCAACCCCGGAACUGCCUUUGAAACUAGAUAGCUUGAAUCCAGGAGAGGUGAGUGGAAUUCCGAGUGUAGAGGUGAAAUUCGUAGAUAUUCGGAAGAACACCAGUGGCGAAGGCGGCUCACUGGACUGGUA